AUACGUAGGUGGCAAGCGUUGUCCGGAUUUACUGGGCGUAAAGGAUGCGUAGGCGGAUGUUUAAGUGAGAUGUGAAAUACCCGAGCUCAACUCGGGGUGCUGCAUUUCAAACUGGAUAUCUAGAGUGCAGGAGAGGAAAGCGGAAUUCCUAGUGUAGCGGUGAAAUGCGUAGAGAUUAGGAAGAACACCAGUGGCGAAGGCGGCUUUCUGGACUGUAACUGACGCUGAGGCAUGAAAGCGUGGGGAGC
rnacentral:rRNA from 1 species